AUUGAACGCUGACGUCAGGCCUAACACUUGCAAGUCGAACGAGUGGCGGACUGGUGAGUAAUGUCUGUGAAACUGCCUGAUGGAGGGGGAUAACUACUGGAAACGGUAGCUAAUACCGCAUACCAUCAGAUGUUCCCAGAUGGGAUUAGCUUGUUGUUGGGGUAACGGCUCACCAAGGCGACGAUCCCUAGCUGGUCUGAGAGGAUGACCAGCCACACUGGAACUGAUACACGGUACAGAGUCCUACGGGAGGCAGCAGUGGGGAAUAUUGCACACUGGGGGCAAGCCUGAUGCAGCCAUGCCGGGUGUAUGAUGAAGGCCUUCGGGUUGUAAAGUACUCUCAGCGGGGAGGCGUUACACGUAGGAGAAGCACCGGCUAACGCCGUGCCAGCAGCCGCGGUAAUAC
rnacentral:rRNA from 1 species